rnacentral:ncRNA from 2 species
GCACACAGACAGGGGAGCACCCGCCCGGACCACGGGCGGUGCUGAGAGUGCGGACCAGCCGCAGACCCUCCGAACCUGCUCCGGCUAGCACCGGCGAAGGGAGUCCAGAUGCGACGCAU